ACAGGAGGUACUCGCACACACACACAGCCCGUCGCCCGUGGCUCGUGGCGACGGGCUGUGUGUGCGUGCUAUUUGCCCAUGU
rnacentral:pre_miRNA from 1 species